GAAUGGAAUCUGCUGUCCAUGGACUGAGACCUCAAAAACUUUUCUCUCAAGGUGGGUCUUUCCCCUGCUGAGACCUCCACCAGACUGGAGAUAAAGAAGCAAUGGGAUCACAGGAACAGCAUCAACCUGCGUGUUUAGGCUGUAUGAUCUCACACUCCAGGCAGAAGUUUAUUGGAAGAAUGGACACCUGACACAAAUUGGGCUAAUCAGCUAUUCUGUUCAAGAAUCUUCAGGAAAAAAACUCUCCAUAUAGAUGGAAGAACUCAGGAAGUGAACUCAGGAACUGAACUAAUUUUUGUGCCCUACAUGCGUUGAGAGGCAAAGGAGCUUAGUCUAUAGAGAAAUUUACUUAUUGAAGUUGUCUGAAUUUGGAAUGGCUUUUUGGUCUUGGGUUCCAGUCUCUCCUGAGCACCAGGUAAAUUCUUGUGCUCAGGUCUUAUGAGAUAACUCUGUUUUCUUACAAUAAAUACCACACACCCCCACCACCACAUACACACACCACACUAAUUUUUUUUGUUGUUGUUGAUUUAAGCAUAUUCAAGUUAUUUUGUUACUUGUAGCCAGAGUAUUAACAAAUACAAUACCUAAUGCAUAUAAUCCUAAUUCCCAUUUACCACAUAUGAAUUACUGUGUGCAAAGUUCAUGUGAAUUGUCUUGUUUAAUCCUCUCAACUCUACUAAAAAAUUGUUUUCUCGUGAUUCAGAUCCUUCUUGACUUAAGUGUUUCUUCCAAUAAAUCUAAGUGCCUCUCAACUUUUUUUUUUCUGAGUGUCCCCAAAGGGAUGUCUCACAGUUUUUCAUAAACCAGUGUCAGACUCCGCCAUCAUGCAA